rnacentral:rRNA from 1 species
CGGCUGACACUUAGGCGAGAUGAGCCCGCGGCGCAUUAGCUAGUUGGUGAGGUACACUGGCUCACCAAGGCGUAAACGAUGCGUAGGCGACCUGAGAGGGUGAUCCAGCCACACUGGGUGUAGAUAACACGGCACAGCACUCCUACUGGGGAGUACGACAGCAGUAGGUUGAAUCUUCGAGCAAUGGGCGAAAGCCUGACCGAGCAACGCCGCAUGUGAGUCGAUUCGAAGGCCUUCGGGUCGUAAAGCUACCUGUUGUUGAGAGACUAGAACAAGUACGAGAGUAAGUGCUCGUACCUUGCCGGUACCUGACCAGAAAGCCACGUGGUAAAUACGUGCCAUCAGCUCGCGUCGUAAUACGUAGGUGGCAAGUCCCGUUACGUCCGGAAUUAUUGGGCGUAAAGCGCGCGCAGGCGGUCUCUUAAGUCUAAUGUGAAAGCCCACGGCUCAACCGGUGGAGGGUCAUUGGAUAACUGGGAGAUCUUGAGUGCAGGAGAGAAAAGUGGAAUUCACACGUG